AGAGUUUGAUCCUGGCUCAGAGCGAACGCUGGCGGCGUGCUUAACACAUGCAAGUCGAACGCGCAGCAUUCUGUAGCAAUACAGGGUGUGGGCGCGUGGCGAACGGGUGCGUAACACGUGGAUAACCUUCCUUGAGGUGGGGAAUAACCCAGUGAAAAUUGGGCUAAUACCGCAUAACAUCGCGAUGGCACAUGCUGAUGCGAUCAAAGGCGCAAGUCGCCACAAGAGGGAUCCGCGGCCGAUUAGCUUGUUGGCGAGGUAAUGGCUCACCAAGGCAAUGAUCGGUAGCCGGACUGAGAGGUUGGCCGGCCACACUGGAACUGAGACACGGUCCAGACUCCUACGGGAGGCAGCAGUGGGGAAUCUUGCACAAUGGACGAAAGUCUGAUGCAGCAACGCCGCGUGGGGGAUGAAGCUUCUCGGAGUGUAAACCCCUUUCGACCCGGAAGAAUGCCCGCAAGGGUAUGACGGUACGGGUAUAAGAAGCCCCGGCUAACUACGUGCCAGCAGCCGCGGUAAUACGUAGGGGGCCAGCGUUGCUCGGAAUUACUGGGCGUAAAGGGUCCGUAGGCGGUGUAGCAAGUCGAUAGUGAAAUCUCUGCGCUUAACGCAGAGGCUGCUAACGAAACUGCUGUGCUAGAGUGUGAGAGAGGCGAGUGGAAUUACGGGUGUAGCGGUGAAAUGCGUAGAUAUCCGUAGGAACAUCCGAGGCGAAGGCGGCUCGCUGGAUCACAACUGACGCUGAGGGACGAAAGCUAGGGGAGCAAACAGGAUUAGAUACCCUGGUAGUCCUAGCCCUAAACCAUCAGACUUGGGGUUUGCCCUGUACGGGGCAAGUCCCGUAGCUAACGCGUUAAGUCCUGCGCCUGGGGAGUACGGUCGCAAGGCUGAAACUCAAAGGAAUUGACGGGGCCCGCACAAGCGGUGGAACAU
rnacentral:rRNA from 1 species